GGAGCUGACACUGCACGUACUACGCAUGUACAAAAAGAAUGAAUGAAUGACGCAUGCGCCCAGUGUGCGAUUCUUCACGCGGGGAGAGCAGUGUAGUGAGGCACUCGGACAGCAGCAGCUACAGGGAAGGCUCAUAGGAGCGAUGUCAAAGGCUCGCCUGGCAGCCUGCACUCACACUCACAUGCGCGGGACUGGAGGAAGUCGCUCACAUGCCGCACACUAAACUGUCCUGAACUUUCGGUCACUGCUCCCCAUGCAUCCGGCCGGGGCAUGCUACAUGCAUGAUGCUCUGAGCCUAGAAUGACAUAUCAGAGGAAGAGCAUGCCGCAGAUAGGGAUUAUGGUGGAGGAGAUGCUUGAAAAGGCGGAUCAUCACCUGUAGGAUGUUGUUGAGGAAGAGAUAAUGGAGGGGAUACUCCUGGUGGUGUUGGAGGUUGAACAAAAGAUGGAGAAUACAGAAUACAGAGGACCACCAAGAAGGUGCUGGCAUUGCUCAAUAUUGUGUUUGAAUGGAUUGCAGAGGAAUUCGGGGAGCAUCUAAGUUAUUUUUUGUUUGCUUGCCUGAUCUAUUGUGCUUGUUGUUUUUACAUUUCUGUUUUAAAAAAAUAAAUAAA